CAGACAGCUCACAUGGACCCAAGUUGGGGUUAACAUGCAGAUUGUGCAGGGGUUCCCUGCGGAUGCACCCCUGUGUGCCCUGAUGUGGACCUGCUCCUUCCUGCUUCCUGGGCUCCAGACAGAAACACCGUACCCCUGCACCAGCCUCUGCCUCAGCUCUUCACAGUCAGCACACCCUCCGCUUCCUGUCAGGGUGUUCUCUGCUGAGUCUGGUUAUGGGAUCCCUUUCUGUGCAGAGCCAUGCUCCCGUGUCACUGUGUGUCACCUUCAAGCUGUCCCCGUGUGUAUGCCUGUGUGAGAAUAUGUGUGUGUGGGUUUGCCAUCGA
rnacentral:lncRNA from 10 species